UCAGUUGCAAUUGAUGGCCCAGGA
rnacentral:piRNA from 1 species